CUUGGUCAUUUAGAGGAAGUAAAAGUCGUAACAAGGUUUCCGUAGGUGAACCUGCGGAAGGAUCAUUACAGAGAACUUGCCCUUCGGGGUAGAUCUCCCACCCUGUGUUUACGUUACCAUUGUUGCUUUGACGGGCCCGUCCCUCGGGACCGCCGGCUCCGGCUGGCCCGUGCCCGUCAGAGGACCCAAAACUCUUGUUUAAACGUCGUCUGAGUACUAUAUAAUAGUUAAAACUUUCAACAACGGAUCUCUUGGUUCUGGCAUCGAUGAAGAACGCAGCGAAAUGCGAUAAGUAAUGUGAAUUGCAGAAUUCAGUGAAUCAUCGAAUCUUUGAACGCACAUUGCGCCCUCUGGUAUUCCGGGGGGCAUGCCUGUUCGAGCGUCAUUACAACCCUCAAGCUCUGCUUGGUAUUGGGUGCCGCCCCCCACGGGGCGCGCCUUAAAGACAGUGGCGGUGCCGUCCGGCUCCAAGCGUAGUAAUUCUUCUCGCUCUGGAGGACCGGUCGUGUGCUUGCCAGCAACCCCCAAUUUUUCCAGGUUGACCUCGGAUCAGGUAGGGAUACCCGCUGAACUUAAGCAUAUCAAUAAGCGGAGGA
rnacentral:rRNA from 1 species